UAAAAUUUUCCUUAAUCAUCUACUCCCUUUCAACCUCGCGUUAGUUGUAGCACAUCAAACACGACAUAAGAAUCUGCAAGCUUAAUCACUGAUUUCCUCGUGACUUCACGCCGACACUAGCACAUCAAACAUGGCACAAGAAACUUCGCUUCAAAAUCGUCUCGAUCGCGCGCUAACAACCAAACAUUUGACAAACGAAUUGGAUUCCGCAUUUUACUGAAAAAUCAAAUGCCGAAUCUGAAUCCCAAUCUUGAGCGUGAAAACCGAAGAAAAAAAAAGAAUGAAGAACCUACCAGAUUCGAUGCAGGCUCUAGUUAAUUUUUCUCUUCGAUCUCCCUCAAUCACUUCCGCUACAUGUUGUUAUCGCUCUUCAAUUCAUUGUGUUGCUGCUUAUGAAUCUUCUCCUCCUUCGUUAUGCUUCUCCUUUUCUCUGUUGCGUGUUGUUCUGUUGUGAUUCUAUGAUCUUCAUGUUGGAAGUUAUUUUUAAGGAGGUUGUGAAAUUUUGGUUAGCAGGUUCUAUUGAAGGGAUUUCGGUUCAGAAUUGGUUUGCACAAUGGUUCCCAAUUGAAGUAUGGUGAAUCAUUAUUGGUUAGAGGUUGUAUUUGGUUUCAUUCAGAAGUUGGUUUGAGAAGUUGAAGUGAAAUUGCAGAGAGUUGGUCCCUCCGUUCAGUUUUUCGUUAGGGAAAUGGAGUUGGAACUUAUGAAGAAGGUUGGAAUACAAAACGGAUUUGAAUUGGCCAUAUUUCAAUGUAGUGCAAAUGGAUUGUCAUGGCGUCAUGGAAUUGGCUAUUUUGUAAUCAUGAAAUGAAUGUAGUAUGAAGUAAUUGCAAUGGAUGUAAAUUUAGAGUUAAAAGCAUUGUGAGAUGAAAUUGAAUUUAUGGUUGAAAUUGAAAUAUUGUAAUUGGUAUGAAUGGAAAUAAAGUGUUGUAUGUAGUCAUAAUGAUUGAAUGGACUAUUGUAUUGUAAUUUGGAAAUUGAAAUGGUUUAUAUUGUAAUUGAAAUGGUUUAUAUUGGAAAUUGAAUAUGGUAUUAUGAUAUAAAUUAUUGGUUGAAGAUA